UACGAAGGGUGCAAACGUUGCUCGGAAUUAUUGGGCGUAAAGCGCACGUAGGCGGCUUGGCAAGUCGGAUGUGAAAGCCCACGGCUCAACCAUGGAAGUGCAUCCGAAACUGCUGAGCUUGAGUACUUAAGAGGAUCGCGGAAUUCCCGGUGUAGAGGUGAAAUUCGUAGAUAUCGGGAGGAACACCAGUGGCGAAGGCGGCGUC
rnacentral:rRNA from 1 species